AAUAGAUACCCCGGUAGUCCACGCCGUAAACGAUGAGUGCUAAGUGUUAGAGGGUUUCCGCCCUUUAGUGCUGCAGCUAACGCAUUAAGCACUCCGCCUGGGGAGUACGGCCGCAAGGCUGAAACUCAAAGGAAUUGACGGGGGCCCGCACAAGCGGUGGAGCAUGUGGUUUAAUUCGAAGCAACGCGAAGAACCUUACCAGGUCUUGACAUCCUCUGCCAACCCUAGAGAUAGGGCGUUCCCCUUCGGGGGACAGAGUGACAGGUGGUGCAUGGUUGUCGUCAGCUCGUGUCGUGAGAUGUUGGGUUAAGUCCCGCAACGAGCGCAACCCUUGAUCUUAGUUGCCAGCAUUCAGUUGGGCACUCUAAGGUGACUGCCGGUGACAAACCGGAGGAAGGUGGGGAUGACGUCAAAUCAUCAUGCCCCUUAUGACUUGGGCUACACACGUGCUACAAUGGAUGGUACAAAGAGCUGCGAACCCGCGAGGGUAAGCGAAUCUCAUAAAGCCAUUCUCAGUUCGGAUUGUAGG
rnacentral:rRNA from 1 species